AUUGAACGCUGGCGGCAUGCCUAACACAUGCAAGUCGAACGGCAGCACAGUGUGUAGCAAUACACAUGGGUGGCGAGUGGCGGACGGGUGUGUAAUACGUAGGAAUCUUCCCUAAAGUGGGGGAUAACCCGGGGAAACCCGGGCUAAUACCGCAUAAUCUCUACGGAGCAAAGGAGGGGUCGUAAGACCUUUCGCUUUUGGAUGAGCCUACGUCGGUUUAGCUGGUUGGUAGGGUAAAGGCCUACCAAGGUAAUGAUCCGUAGCUGGUCUUAGAGGACGGCCAGCCCCGCUGGGACUGAGAAACGGCGCAGACGUCUGCGGGAGGCGGCAGUGGGGAACUGUGGACAAUGGGGGAAACCCUGAUCGAGCGAUGCCGCGUGUGUGAAGAAGGCCUUCGGGUUGUAAAGCACUUUUAGUGGGGAAGAAAGGUUUGUGGCUAAUACCUUCAAACGCUGACAUUAGCCACAGAAAAAGCACCGGCUAACUCUGUGCCAGCCGUCGCAGUAACAC
rnacentral:rRNA from 1 species